UACAGAGGUCCCGAGCGUUGUUCGGAAUUACUGGGCGUAAAGGGCUCGUAGGCGGCCAUCUAAGUCGGACGUGAAAUCCCUCGGCUUAACCGGGGAACUGCGUCCGAUACUGGAGGGCUCGAGUGUGGGAGAGGGAUGCGGAAUUCCAGGUGUAGCGGUGAAAUGCGUAGAUAUCUGGAGGAACACCGGUGGCGAAGGCGGCAUCCUGGACCAUUACUGACGCUGAGGAGCGAAAGCCAGGGGAGCAAACGGG
rnacentral:rRNA from 1 species